AUGCUCGCUUCGGCAGCACAUAUACUAAAACUAGAACGAUACAGAGAUUAGCAUGGCCCCUGCUCAAGGAUGAAAGGGUGACACUCAAAUUUGUGAAGCGUUUCA